CCUACGGGGGGCAGCAGUAGGGAAUCUUCCACAAUGGGCGAAAGCCUGAUGGAGCAACGCCGCGUGGGUGACGAAGGUCUUCGGAUUGUUAAACUUUGUUGUUAGAGGAGAAAGUGCGUGAGAGUAACUGUUCACGUUUCGACGGUAUCAAACCAGAAAGCCACGGCUAACUCCGUGACAGCAGCCGCGGUAAUACGGAGGUGGCUAGUGUUAUUCGGUUUUAUUGGGCGUAAAGGGAACGCAGGCGGUCUUUUAAGUGUGAUGUGAAAGCCUUCGGCUUAACCGGAGUAGUGCAUUGGAAACUGGGAGACUUGAGUGCAGAAGAGGAGAGUGGAACUCGAUGUGUAGCGGUGAAAUGCGUAGAUAUAUGGAAGAACACCAGUGGCGAAGGCAGCUCUCUGGUCUGUAACUGACGCUGAGGUUCGAAAGCGUGGGUAGCAAACAGGAUUAGAUACCCGGGUAGUC
rnacentral:rRNA from 1 species